rnacentral:rRNA from 1 species
UACGAAGGGGGGCUAGCGUUGUUCGGAAUUACUGGGCGUAAAGCGCACGUAGGCGGAUAUUUAAGUCAGGGGGUGAAAUCCCCAGAGCUCAACUCUGGAACUGCCUUUGAUACUGGGUAUCUGGAGUAUGGAAGAGGUGAGUGGAAUUCCGAGUGUAGAGGUGAAAAUUCGUAGAUAUUCGGAGGAACACCAGUGGCGAAGGCGGCUCACUGGUCCAUUACUGACGCUGAGGUGCGAAAGCGUGGGGGAGCAAACAGG